rnacentral:rRNA from 1 species
GAGCCCAAGAUUGAAAGCUGGCGUCUUCGGCGUCCGCAUUGUAAUCUCAAGAAGUGUUUUCCGCUUCGGACCAAGCCUAAGUCCCCUGGAAAGGGGCAUCAUAGAGGGUGAUAAUCCCGUACAUGGCUUGGAGCGCCCGAGGCUUUGUGAUACGCUUUCUAAGAGUCGAGUUGUUUGGGAAUGCAGCUCAAAAUGGGUGGUAAAUGCCAUCUAAGGCUAAAUAUUGGGGAGAGACCGAUAGCGAACAAGUACAGUGAUGGAAAGAUGAAAAGAACUUUGAAAAGAGAGUUAAACAGUACGUGAAAUUGCCAAAAGGGAAGGGUAGGAGGUCAGAGAUGCGGCCUGGGAUUCAGCCUUGCUUUUGCUUGGUGUUUUUCCUGCGUUGCAGGCCAACGUCGGUUUUGGGCACUGGAGAAGGGUAGGAGGAACG